CACACUUUUCCUCCUUUUUUUCUCGGAAGACUACACAAACCAUUCAGACAUGAAUCGGCGCUCUCUCUCCGCUUUGGAGACGGCUACAAGUGGGAAUGUUACUAAACCCACAUACCACAUUUAUAAAAUCACACCCACACAGUUUAGAUAUAAGACUACUGACAUCCACCGUACUUCAUUGGCGCCGGUGGUUCAUCCAUCAAAUUCUCCUUUUCACACUAUAUAAAAUUGAGACGCGAUGUAUAGAUCGUCUUGGAAGACCGGUGGUUCCUCCUCCACCUUGCCAUUUUCACACUAUAUAAAAUUGAGACGCGAUGUAUAGAUCGUCUUGGAAGACCGGUGGUUCCUCCUCCACCUUGCCA
rnacentral:misc_RNA from 1 species